GUUCUUAUAGUUUAAAAAAAACAUUGGUCUUGUAAACCAAAAUUGAUUUAUCUAAAAACA
rnacentral:tRNA from 1 species